CCCAGCCGCCGCAACAAUGGAGGGCCGGGCUGCAGAGGCCGGGUCGCCAGCCCCCCGUCCGAGAGCAGGUUUCAACCCAGAAAGCCAAGCUCCAGCUGGUCCAGGAGGGUGGAUGUCCCCAGGACCCACCAGAGGCUAUUGGGGUUCAGCCCUACUCUAUACCUGACUUCCCCGCAAAUGGGGGAUAAUUCCCUGGAAGAGAGGGCCACGCAAGGAAGAGGAUGAGACCCUCCCCACAUCCCAGCAGCUGAAGACUCUGCCCGGACCCCGCAGGCUGGAAUCUCCAAC